AAUUUCAUAUCAAUCUGCCAUUUUACCAUUUAUAGAUUCCAAUGGUUGUGUAGAUGAAGUCUACUACAGUUCUUUUAUCCACCAAAGGACCAGUAGCAAUCAUGAGGUAUGAUCGAGUGAAUCUUGUACUAUUAAUAUUAGGAUGUUAGGAAUAGUGCCAGGUAGUUGCCUGGCACGUAUUCAUUGGGCCGCCAAUUAACAGAUCCAUAGAUGGCCACGUUUAUUGAUUAUCCCAGUUGUCUCUUGAGGUUUUAAGGUUUUAUUGCCACGUGUCAUCUGCAGAUCCGUAGGUAUAGAAAAGUGGAGAGAGAUGGAGAUGUGUGAGCGGUUAGCACUGACAAUGCUCCUUCGCCGAUGUUGGUGAACGACGUACACUACUCCAGAUCCCAACUGUUUUAGUUCCAGAUCUUGAUCUCUUCGUGCAAGAAUGACGAGCGAUGCCACAAGCCUAAUCAUAAAGAAUUCUCGAAGUUUGUUGUCGGGCUAUUAGUUUCAUUGUGAUGGCAUUCGUAUGGUUUUUUCUUUGCAUUUAAAAUCACUUUGAUUUGGUGGCUCAAUAUCAUAUAAAAACAUUCUAAGCUAUCGUGGUUCAGUUAAGAUUCAUUGUUAAACAUAUAUCUUCAAGCUAUCGAAGAUCUGAUCGAAGCGAGGGCUUCUCACUUUCAAUUCAGAUUUCAGAGGUUGCAAACUACUGUAGCACCCGUGUUCAUACUGCUUUACAAGAGGAGUUAGAGCCUCUCAUGGUAAGCUUGGUACCAAUUCAAGUGAUAAUAACUGUUGGAGAAAAUAGCAUUUUACAACUGUUUCCUUAAGGUUGAUGGCUAG